rnacentral:snRNA from 1 species
AAGAAGGUAAUUUCUCGUU